ensembl:lncRNA
AGCAGUGGGAAAACAAAGCAUAGCUGCUUUCAGUGUCCUUUUUAGCGGGGAAAAAAAUCAUUGCACCUUGCUUUUCUUCUCUCCGUCUAUUCCUUCAUGCUGUCCUUUCUUCUGUUCCUUUCCUGCAGGGCUGAAACAGCCGGUCGGAGGCAGAGGCAGGGAAGAAGAGCGCAAAGCCUAGCCAGUGCCUGAGCCCUCCUUCUCCCCARACCUCUCCCCACCGCCCAAGGCUCCUCGCAGCCGCCCGGCCUGGGGGGCGACGGCUCUGCGGGGACGAYGGUGCCGGCAGGGUUUGGGCUGCAGAAGCCGKCGKUGCCGGCGGUGCCGCGUCGGGAGCCCAGCUCGACGCUGCAGUCCCGGGCUGAGCYGCGAAAGCAAACCCGGAGCGCCAGCCUGCCGCGUUUCACAGCAGAGCUGCCGUUUAGGGAGGCUGGGGAGAGGAGACAUCUUCCUCCUCCAGCUUUCUCCUUCUCAAUGCACCACGCGUAUGCUGGAGCAUCCCAGCGCCCAGGGGGGCUUCCCUGGGGCCCUGCCCCGUGUCCUGUGCCCUUCCCUCCCUCAGCAGUGGGGCCGGCAAAGGCAGCACGCUCCCGCGGGAUGGCUGGUGCCCUGGCAUUAGGGCAGCCUGGCCGCGGCAGCAGAGCCGGUGUCCCGUGGCCAGGCUUGGGGCUGGGGAUGUGUUUUCCAGCCUCCAAGUGCUUGUGCAUCGGCUGGGAGAUUUCAAGGAGCGUUUUCCCGGGAGCAGGGAGGUGCUGCAACACGCCGCCGUGCCGGGGCCUUCGGGGGGGUCAGCUCUCGCCUCUGCCGUGGACCUUCUGGGAUAACCUCGGUCAGGGCUCGGAGCUGGCGCCGUGCCGGUUCCCGUGCCGGUUCCCGUGCCGCUCAGGCUCCCGUCUCCCGCUGCGCCCCCGCGAAGCUGAACCGGCCGGCGCUCCGGUGCCGCGGCGGCAAGGACUAGGCGCGAGUCUGGCACCGCGCCGCGGGGACGUCUCGGUGGCGUUUGCAUCGCAUUGCCUUGUUGUGUUUGGUCUGCGAUACAAAGCUCUGGAUCGGUAGUUUCAAAGCCUGGUAGAUCUUCAGGGAACCGACGCUUCGCCCAAACCCGGGAGCCCCGCGGAGGUGCGGCGUGAGCUGGCGGCUUUGCAGCCCCGAUGGGUCACGUUACAGGUCUUGGUUGCUCUUGGCCCAGCCCGGGUCAGCGGAGGUUGGCAGAAAGCUCCCCUUGACUGCCGAACACGUUUUGGCCACGCUCACAAGGUGAAAACUUGCCAACACCCCUACACASCGAGUAUUUAUAUUAUUGUAGCACCCACGCUUGCUUGUAAACUCAGGGCCUGUCACUGCUGGAACAUCAGCGUGAAGCCUUACAAGCCCUGGGUCCUUUCAUAAAACAUCUUGUCUUCCUCGGUAAAAAUCCUCCUUCUCCGAGCUUUCUUCUGCUGCUCUCCUGGGCUUGACCUACUUACCCGGCCGCGCUGCCGCGGCUGGGCACGGCGGGCCGGGAGCCGGCGCUCCCCGCUCUGGCCGAGAGGCCUGCGAGUUGCUGAGUCCGUGUGGACUCCCCCAGGCCGUGACAAGCUCUGAAKGCUUUCGGUGCUCUUCCCUCAUCUCCUCUCACUUGUCUUCAUCGUUUUGUCCUUGCAUGACCAACAGAAGGGGUGCCAGAGCUGCUUGCAUGGCGUUGUGCAAUAGUUCGGGGAAGAGCAGGCUGUGAUUCAUCCGGGGACGGAGAAGCCUGCUCCAGCGCUGGCAGUGCCGAAGGGACCCCCGGGGGGGGGGGGGAGGUUUCCACUUCUGAGCAGCUCCGGAGUCUCUGACAAUGAGGAUCCCUGUGCUCCAGGGCCGCAGGGCAAAGCCCUGCCAAGCCGGGUACGUGGCUUAGACGGGGAGCAACGGGGAGCUGGAGGCCCCGUCUCCAGACCGCAGGAGAUGCCUGCGGCCAGGCCACUGAGUCAUCCUCAGCGGCGGUUUGCUGAAGGCCACGAUGGCUUGCGAGGAGCUUGGUGCCAGGCGGGCCAGGAGGGGAGGCACCCUCCACGGGACGGUAGCGGGAGAGGACGCGAGCAGACGGGAGGGCCGGCGCUUUCCUCCUGCASCUCCUCACUUGGGGAGCCCUGCACUGAGAUCAGCAUCGUCUCCAGCCGAAAGGACCAUUGCUGGUUAAAAUAAACCAUGCAAGGGGCUCA